AGCUUUGCGCAGUGGCAGUAUCGUAGCCAAUGAGGUUAAUCCGAGGCGCGAUUAUUGCUAGUUGAAAACUUUUCCCAAUACCCCGCCAUGACGACUUGAAAUAUAGUCGGCAUUGGCAAUUUUUGAGAGCCUCUACGGAGG
ensembl:snRNA U4 U4 spliceosomal RNA